GGACCCGCACAAGUAGUGGAGCAUGUGGUUUAAUUCGAAGAUACGCGCAGAACCUUACCAACACUUGACAUGUUCGUCGCGACUCUAAGAGAUUAGAGUUUUCGGUUCGGCCGGACGAAACACAGGUGCUGCAUGGCUGUCGUCAGCUCGUGUCGUGAGAUGUUGGGUUAAGUCCCGCAACGAGCGCAACCCUCACUUUUAGUUGCCAUCAUUAAGUUGGGCACUCUGAAAGAACUGCCAGUGAUAAGCGGGAGGAAGGUGUGGAUGACGUCAAGUCCUCAUGGCCCUUACGGGUUGGGCUACACACGUGCUACAAUGGUAUGACAAUGGGGUUAAUCCCAAAAAGCUAUCUC
rnacentral:rRNA from 1 species